GGAAAGCGCUCGCCGGCUAAACACAUUCGCAAAUUGCUCGUUGUGGUGACAGGACGUGCGCACAGCUGCUGGGCGGCGCAGUGUCGCGUCCACAAAGGACUCGCUGCGAAUCUUCAACAAAAGACGAAAGGAAAGCAGAGAAUAGUGAUAAAAUAGAACUGUGAAAUUUCAAAAUUUCUUUGUUUACUUUGAACUUCUGAGCGUUGAGAAAAGUAAAAACAGAAAAUAAAAAAUUAAAAAUAUAAAAAAACAACAACCAAAAAUAUCAGCAAAGUA